AAACAGUCCCCUAUGUUUUGAUUCUUUGACAGUUUUGGACCCCCAAGGCAAAAUAAAAAAUAAAAAAAAUUGACACGUGGCACCUCACUUAGGGUGCCACGUCAGCGUUGACCGAGUCAACAAUGGACUGGGGGUCCAAAACUGCCAAAGAAUCAAAACAUAGGGGGCUGUUU
rfam:Medicago truncatula strain A17 chromosome 7, whole genome shotgun sequence.